rnacentral:rRNA from 1 species
GAUGAACGCUGGCGGCGUGCCUAAUACAUGCAAGUCGAGCGAACAGACGAGGAGCUUGCUCCUCUGACGUUAGCGGCGGACGGGUGAGUAACACGUGGAUAACCCACCUAUAAGACUGGGAUAACUUCGGGAAACCGGAGCUAAUACCGGAUAAUAUAUUGAACCGCAUGGUUCAAUAGUGAAAGACGGUUUUGCUGUCACUUAUAGAUGGAUCCGCGCCGCAUUAGCUAGUUGGUAAGGUAACGGCUUACCAAGGCAACGAUGCGUAGCCGACCGGAGAGGGUGAUCGGCCGCACUGGAAGUGAGACACGGUCCAGGCUCCUACGGGAGGGCGCAGUAGGGAAUCGGCCGCAAUGGGCGAGAACCUGACGGAACAGCGCGGAGUGAAUGAUGAAGGUCUUCGGAUCGGAAAGCUCUGUUAUUGGGGGAGAACAAAUGUGUAAGGAACUAUACACGUCUUGACGGUAACUAGUCAGAAAGCCACGGCUAACUACGUG